CGAUAACCUCAUCAUCCCGAUGCGGAUCUGGUCGGUAACGAUAGACUGAGUCGCUAAUGCCAACUACGCGGCAGGCCAUUCGCAAACUGACCUGAUAGUGUUUGCGAGCGUAAUCGACAAGCUCGCGCUUAACCGCUGGCCCU
rnacentral:sRNA from 1 species